AGUGAACGCUGGCGGUAGGCCUAACACAUGCAAGUCGAACGGCAGCACAGUAAGAGCUUGCUCUUACGGGUGGCGAGUGGCGGACGGGUGAGGAAUACAUCGGAAUCUACUUUUUCGUGGGGGAUAACGUAGGGAAACUUACGCUAAUACCGCAUACGACCUACGGGUGAAAGCAGGGGAUCUUCGGACCUUGCGCGAUUGAAUGAGCCGAUGUCGGAUUAGCUAGUUGGCGGGGUAAAGGCCCACCAAGGCGACGAUCCGUAGCUGGUCUGAGAGGAUGGUCAGCCACACUGGAACUGAGACACGGUCCAGACUCCUACGGGAGGCAGCAGUGGGGAAUAUUGGACAAUGGGCGCAAGCCUGAUCCAGCCAGACCGCGUGGGUGAAGAAGGCCUUCGGGUUGUAAAGCCCUUUUGUUGGGAAAGAAAAGCAGCAGGUUAAUACCCCGCUGUUCUGACGGUACCCAAAGAAUAAGCACCGGCUAACUUCGUG
rnacentral:rRNA from 1 species